rnacentral:lncRNA from 10 species
GCAAAAUGGGACUAAUAAAACCUAUGUUUGAGAAUUCUUGUGAAGAUUAGAUGAGAUAGCAUAGUGAAAUGCUGGGCACAGAGUACAUAACUGAUGGUUAUUUUCCUUAGUAAUAGCCAUAACCACAUAUCUCUAUGUUAACUCGAGUUCUACCAUCUAUUCUUUAGCCCUUUGGCCCAAACAUGGACUCCAAAUUCUCAUGGUGUUUAAUGCACAACUCGGACCUAAGCAAGACCAAAGUAUAAUAAUCAGACUUUACUAAAGGUUUGGGCAUAGCCAGAUGAGAAUGAACAUAGAGAAACAUAAAGCUAGAUAAUCUGAAAGUUUAUCACUUCAUUUUUAGGAUCCCCUGCAAGGGUACUGCCUUCUUAACUAGCCCUAGCCCCUGGGAGAAGCCAUCUUUUCCAUACCACCAGAGAGCAUCCUCAAAUAAUCCAUUUACCUGAAAGUCCAGCAAGAACAUGAUUCCAGAGGAAGUCAGGAGUUUUUGCUGAAGACCAAAACCCAUCUUGCAAGAUUCUAUUACCUGUCAGAGGACCUGCCCCUCCCAGACAAGUGAUACAGAGAAUGUGCACUUUCUUCAGAAAAGGUCUUCUUUUAUGGAAAAAGAUGCACGCAAAGACUAUAGGCCAAGUACAACAACAAGAUAUUACAGCAAAAGGAACCUCUCAGACUGAAGGUACCCACUAUGCAGACUCUGGUGCUUAUUAUUUCCAAGAACAUCUUAUACUUUCACUACAGUUUUAUGAACUACAUGUCUCCAAAAUUUAUAUGAAUGAUAGGUACUCAUCAUUCUGCAAAUUAUUUUUUUCCCAUACAACAUUAUGUGCUUGAGAUUAAUCCAUGCUGAUACGUUUACUGCUAAACGGGUCAUUUUAACUACUAUAUGGUGUUCUAUUAUGUGAAUAUUGAUUAUUUAUUUACCCAUUCUCAUGCUAGGGGACAUUGAUUUUUUUUUAGUUUUUCUCUAUUACAAACAAUAUUUCAGAGAAUAUUCCUGCCCAUGUAUCUUUCUGCAGAUGUGUUUGAGUUUCUCUAGUGGAAUCACUGAGUUAAAGGGAUAUGUAUCUUUAAUUUCACUGGUCUAGGCCAAAUAUCUGAUUCACUUGCCCAUAUUCUUACUGAGAUGGUUGGUCAAGUUAUGUAUUUAUUUUUUCAUUUUCUUUUUUUAUUUUGCCCCGGGCAGGAAAUGAAGUGUUAAUCAAGUUGACAAGAGCAUCAUCUUUCUAUUUCUAACCUUUUCUAGAUUUAAACAGAUAGAAAUAUGGCAGAAUUCUUUUAGAAGUCAAGAAGACUAACAUAAAAUAAGGAGCUUUCAGAUGGAUCUUGAUCAGAACCACAUAAAAAUAUGGCCAUGUCCUGUCAUCGCAUUAUGAAAUUUACAACACAGCACUGUCAAUAUGUGAUGUUGCAAAAACACAGUGCCACAUGGUAAACAUUGCCGAGGUCUGUGAAUAAAUCCCUCUGAGAGCUUAUGACUCUUUAUGACCCAGUUCACAAAUGAAAUAACUUUUAGAGUAGAGAAACAUUGACUUUUUAGAUCAAGAUAAUGGGAAAUGUUAAAUUCUGACCCAUAACACCAACUGAACUACUGUUUUAAUGCUGUCCUUAAAUAGGCAACAUGUCUAUUAGUUUAAUUUGGUGUUCUAAAUGCUGGAUCUUAUGCAAUUCCUUUAGCCUUGUAUUUAAGAUGAUCUAUUUGGAAAGAUAGGUUAUGGGAAAACUUUCUUAGUCUCAGCCCCUGCAAUUAAACAGUUUAUGUUUCCUCAUUCAACAAAUAUUAAAAUAUAAUAAAGAAUAUGAAAGUAUUUAUAUUAUCUACUUAACAUAGUUUUUUUCCCUAUAUUCAUUUUCUUAUUUAGAUAAAAGAUGUAGGGCAUGAACAAUGCAGUUUCACUGGGAGGUUUACCUUGGUAAAAAGACAGGAGCUAUUACAUUCUAUCUUGUCAAUGAUCCAUGGAUAAUGGGUCAGCAGGGGAUUUAAGAACUGUAUCUUUCAGUUCUUGCCAGAGAGAUACAUCAAUGUGCACUGAUGUGAGCUAUAAUAUGACACACCUUGCAGAACCCUCAAAACCCUUCAGGCACUCUAAGCUGCUUUUAUGAAGAUACGGGACUAAAGGUUGUCAGUUAAGGAUGGUAUUUUGUAAAUAAUUUCGGUAACAGAAUGAUUUCCCUAUUUCUCCAUAUUAAAUUCUAAUGCAUAAGAAUUAAUCCUCAGGUUUAAAAGUCCUUAGUUUUGUUUUGAUUAUUUCCAUUACAUUAGCAGCAGAUCUGUUUUUACCGAUAGGGUAAAACAGACCCAAUAUAUGCGUUGGUUUAUACAUACAUUAUUUUAUAUAUACAUUGUUUAUUGUUAAGUGGGGGUGGAGGGAAGCAAGUUGAAAAAUAGUAUUACAGUAGAUCCUAUUUGUGUGUGAUUGUCCAGAUUAGUUGGGGUGGGAGCAGAUAAUAAGAAAUUUACCUUAUACACUUAUAUACUGUUUGAAUAUUUUAAAAUAAGUAUGAUUGUUUUUAUCAUCUAAAAAAUAAGUAAAUUUACUUUUCAAUGUAAAAAUAUUACUUUCAAUUUACAGUCUUCUGUGUGGUCUUUAAAAUUUUAAGAAAGUUUUAAGAAAUUAAAUUAACAGUCUUCUGUAGGGUCUUUAAAAUUUUGAGAAGUUUUAAGAAAAUAAAUGAUAUGUG